AUCCUUUCGGUUCAUGAAAAUGAUGAUUGGUUGAAUCACAGUUUAUCUGUGAGGAGGUGCGACUUAACCUUGUUACGCAAUGUACCUUCAAACCAUCUGAUC